AUUGAACGCUGGCGGCAUGCCUUACACAUGCAGUCGAACGGCAGCACGGGAGCAAUCCUGGUGGCGAGUAGCGAACGGGUGAGUAAUAUAUCGGAACGUGCCCAGUCGUGGGGGAUAACGCAGCGAAAGCUGUGCUAAUACCGCAUACGAUCUACGGAUGAAAGCGGGGGAUCGCAAGACCUCGCGCGAUUGGAGCGGCCGAUAUCAGAUUAGCUAGUUGGUGAGGUAAAGGCUCACCAAGGCGACGAUCUGUAGCUGGUCUGAGAGGACGACCAGCCACACUGGAACUGAGACACGGUCCAGACUCCUACGGGAGGCAGCAGUGGGGAAUUUUGGACAAUGGGCGCAAGCCUGAUCCAGCAAUGCCGCGUGCAGGAUGAAGGCCUUCGGGUUGUAAACUGCUUUUGUACGGAACGAAACGGUGAGCUCUAAUACAGUUUGCUAAUGACGGUACCGUAGGAAUAAGCACCGGCUAACUACGUGCCAGCAGCCGCGGUAACAC
rnacentral:rRNA from 1 species